rnacentral:misc_RNA from 1 species
AAAUGAACAUAAGCCAACCAAACACAUAAUCACAAGAAAAGGUUUGAUGGGAUGUCCGUACCAACCUCUCAAUUUUCCUUUGCUUCAAGAAGCAUUUCGACUACCUUUUUCAUCUUGGGACGUUUAGCCGGUGUGCUAUCAGUGCAUAACAAGGCAAUCUUCAGGACUGCAAGCAUUUGUUUCCUCCAAGCAAACGAUACGGUACUUAGCCUUGCAUCCAUUAUCUGCUCUGGGGUCUCGCCCCUUCCUGAUGCAUUG